CGACGUAUAAUCUCUCCCCUUACCUCUCCUUUUCUCUCCGUAGUCCUCCCUCCCUCCCUACGUAUAUCUGCCCUUAUACCUCUCCCUUUCUCCUGACAGCCUCCUCCCUUCCUACAGUAUUUCUCUCCCCUAUACCUCUCCUUUCUCUCCUGUCAGUCCUCCCUCACCUACAGAGUAAGAUCUCUCCCCUCUACCCUUCAUUUUCUCUCCUGUCAGCUCCCUCCCUACAGUAUCUCUCCCCUAUUACUCUCCUUUUCUCUCUUCUGUCAGCCUCCCUCCCUACAGUAUAUCCUCCCCUAUAACCUCUCCUUUUCUCUCCUGUCAGCCUCCCUCCCUACAGUUAUCUCUCCCCUUAUACCUCUCUUUUCUCUCCUGUCAGCCCUCCCUCCUCCUCCCAGUAUUAUCUCUCCCUACCUCUCAUUUUCUCUCCUGUCAGUCUCCCUCCCUACAAGUAUAUUCUCCCUUAUACCUCUCCUUUUCUCUUCUGUCAGCCUCCUCUCCUCACAGUAUAUCUCUCCCCUUUAUACUCUCCUUUUCUCUUCUGUCAGCCUCCCCCUACAGUAUAUCUCUCCCUUAUACCUCUCCUUUUCUCUUCUGUCAGCCUCCCUCCCUACAGUAUAUCUCUCCCGUUCUACCUCUCUUUUCUCUGUCAGCUCCCUCCUACAGUAUAUCCUCCCCUUAUACCUCUCCUUUUCUCCUGUCAGCCUCCCUCCCUACAGUAUAUCUCUCCCCUUAUACCUCUCCUUUUCUCCUGUCAGCCUCCCUCCCUACAGUAUAUCU
rnacentral:lncRNA from 1 species